rnacentral:tRNA from 1 species
CCGAGAAAUGUCCACUUUUUCGGCCUUCUAAGCCGUAGGUCACACGUUCGAAUCGUGUAGGGCGGGCCA